rnacentral:rRNA from 1 species
UACGGAGGGUGCAAGCGUUAAUCGGAAUUACUGGGCGUAAAGCGUGCGUAGGCGGUCCGCUAAGUCAGAUGUGAAAGCCCCGGGCUUAACCUGGGAACUGCAUUUGAAACUGGCGAACUAGAGUUGAGUAGAGGAAAGUGGAAUUUCAGGUGUAGCGGUGAAAUGCGUAGAUAUCUGAAGGAACACCAGUGGCGAAGGCGACUUUCUGGACUCAAACUGACGCUGAGGUACGAAAGCGUGGGUAGCAAAC